GAUGAACGCUGGCGGCGUGCCUAAUACAUGCAAGUCGAGCGAACGGACGAGAAGCUUGCUUCUCUGAUGUUAGCGGCGGACGGGUGAGUAACACGUGGAUAACCUACCUAUAAGACUGGGAUAACUUCGGGAAACCGGAGCUAAUACCGGAUAAUAUUUUGAACCGCAUGGUUCAAAAGUGAAAGACGGUCUUUCUGUCACUUAUAGAUGGAUCCGCGCUGCAUUAGCUAGUUGGUAAGGUAACGGCUUACCAAGGCAACGAUGCAUAGCCGACCUGAGAGGGUGAUCGGACACACUGGAACUGAGACACGGUCCAGACUCCUACGGGAGGCAGCAGUAGGGAAUCUUCCGCGAUGGGCGAAAGCCUGACGGAGCAAAGCCGCGUGAGUGAUGAAGGUCUUCGGAUCGUAAAACUCUGUUAUUAGGGAAGAACAUAUGUGUAAGUAACUGUGCACAUCUUGACGGUACCGAAUCAGAAAGCCACGGCUAACUACGUG
rnacentral:rRNA from 1 species